AAGUACCUUCGGGGCUGGGUGCGGGGCCACAGGCCCCAAUUCCCGACCGGCGGUAAUCCGUCCCCGGACGGCGAGCCCGCGAGCCGCAAGGCAGGAAUCCGGUGCGAUCCCGGUGCCGACAGUAAGAGUCUGGAUGGGAGAAGGUGCGU
rnacentral:ncRNA from 1 species